rnacentral:lncRNA from 1 species
ACCACCACAACCAAGGAUAAGGACUUAAAUCCUUUAGAACAAAGAAAUUAACUUUUGAUGCCCAUGCAUUGGUUCAGGACUUGUAAACUCAUGGAUUUGACAAAUCACAAGCAGAAACAAUUGUAGCAGCAUUAACCAAAUGUCAGCCUGAAUACUAUCUAUAAGGAGAUGGUCACUGACGCUCAACAGGAAAUAACAGUACAACAGCUAGUGGCUCUUUUGGAUUCUGUCAGGAAAGACAUGGUCAACCUAAAGAAAAAUGAAUCUGCAAAUCUGAGAGCAGAGCACGAAAAAAUAAAAAUUUAAUUAGACCAAGUUAAACAACAACUAAUAAAUAAAACCAGUAAAAUCAGAACAGAUAAUAAAUUGGACAUCAAACUAGAAAGGAACAGGGUAACAGAUGUUUGCAGAUCAAGAAAAGCAACUUAUGGAAGCAACCACAGAAUUUACCUGAAAGGAUACUCAAACCAUAAGUGUUAUUUCAGAAACCAGUAAUAAAAUUGACACUGAAAUUGCCCCCUUUAAAACACUGAUGGAGUCAAACUUGAGACACAGAUUGUUAUCUUGCAGACUGUGUUCACUUGCCUGGCAAUAGCAUUGGGAUUUUUAAAGUACU